GGUUCCAUAGAGUAGUGGUUAUCACAUCUGCUUUUCACGCAGAAGGUCCUGGGUUUGAUCCCCAACGGAGCCA
rfam:Pteropus alecto contig29741, whole genome shotgun sequence.